UCCUGACCCGAGGGGGGCCCCCACGCCCGCUCUGGCCUCUCAGGUCAGGCCCUCCCCUCCCCUCCCCUCCCCUCCCCCGCCCCUGUGUCUCCGCGAGCCGGCUGUGUGCCUGCGAGAGCGUGCACACCCGCGGGACCUUCCCUUUUGUUCCACCCUGACCUCUACCUUCUCUACCUUGUGCUGACCCCGCUGGGGUGCAGGGGUUCCCUUCGGAGGAGGCCGGGGCUCAAGUGCGGACGCAUCGAGCUUCGGCCCCCACCCCUGCAUUCGCGAUUGGCUCCCGGAGGAGGUGGCUGGUGCUGCCGCCGCUGCAGCAUCUCCUAGGGAGCCGCGACCCUGCGCCCGCCGCCGCUGCCGCUGUCACCAGCCCGGCCCCAGGGGUGCCCUGGGCUCCGCGGCUGAGGCACCUAGGGAGUUGCCCCCCUAGUGGACGGCCUCUCAGGAGAUCCUGACCACCCUCUGGGAACCUGGACUCCUCCAAGCAUCGUCUUUCUCGCCUGCAUCUUCGGAGAGAGGUGCUGAGCCCUUCCUCAUGGAUACGGGGUCCCGGGAGGCAGCCUUCACCAGGGACCUGCCCAGGAAACCAGCAGAUGCCCAGGUCAGCCCUGAAAUGUCCAUUACUCACAAAGAAAAGGAAAAUGCUCAUUUGAAAGAAAUUCUUCUCUUUGUCAAUGCUGAGGCAUUCUCUCAGCCCCAGCCCCACAGUGCUCCAGUGUGUGAAGGGCAACAGCUGACGGGGAAGUUCAGCACAUCUGUGCUGACCAGGGCUGGAGGCGAUGCCAGUCCGUGCAGCUGGGAACGCCUCCUCUGCUAUGGCUGGAGCCACUGCUGAAGGGACUCCACCUGGCACCUAUGCCACCAAUGGCCCCUGAACGGGUAUCUAGGCCCACCCUUAAUAAAGAUGAGCUGCUCAUUCCCA
rnacentral:lncRNA from 1 species